CAGGAAGUGCCCUCUAGUGGUUGUCUGGUAGACAGCCACUAGAGGUGGAGUUAACCCUGCAAGGUAAUUAUUGCAGUUUAUAAACUAGAAAAGCUACAAUUUCUGGGGAAAUUGUGUGAAGUGUUCUUGCCUCCACCAGCAGUCUACAACUGGAGUGGGCGGAGUAACUGGGUGGAGUGGCUUGAGUAACUGUUGUGUGGUUGGAGUGGCUGGACUAACUGUGGAAAGGUUGGACUGGGCAGAGUAACUGUGUUGAGUGUUUGGAGUGAGUAAAGAUAGUAAACAUUACACUAACCAAUUGAUUGAUCAAAUUUAAAGUGCACAUGGCAAGCUUGAUAGAGUGAGAAAUGCAUUUCAACUUUUAUUUAUAUAGCACAUUUAAUUGCAAUGUUGUUGCCCAAAGUGCUUCACAGUUACAUUAAAACAUAUAUUUAUAAAAACAUUAGCAGGUGUACAAAAGGCCCUGUCUACGACAUCACGGUUGCCAUCUUCAAACAGUCGUAUUUUUAAAACUAUAAACCCUACAGCGAAGAGCUUUAUAUUGUGAGAAUCACAAGACCCAGACCUACAUUUUGAUGCAUAGUAUGUCUCCGAAGUAUUAACAACGAAGGCACAGUCGCAGUUUAGAAAUUGCCCUUCGAGUUUGAGCUGGCUAGAGUGGAGUUUCAAUGAAUGUCAAUGGACGGCGUGAGUUGCAAACAAAUGGUCAUAUUGUGAAAACUAUCAGGACUACGGCUUAGCCGUGGACAUUUUUAGUGGCAGCAGGGAUAGCUGAACGUUUUAAUAUAAGAUUUGUGUAGGUGGGCUUGAAAAUGAGGGAGGGGCGGCAGUUUAGAAAUCAUGUCCUGAUUUUUCAGCUUUUGCCAGCUCCCACUCUAGUUUUGCUAUUCAUUCCUAUGGGACCAAUUUUGCCACAAGAACGACGAUUUUCCGUGAACCAUUUGACGAAACGUUCCACAAAGUAAUAGCAAUCCAAUCGGGAACAAUCCGCACGUUUCGGUAUAUUACUGUCUAUGUAGUGUAAAAACUGUGGGAGGUAAAUUUGGCUAUAAUAAUAAUAAUAUAUAUGUGAGAUAACAUUAAGUGGUCUUGCUAUGCAAGAACACUUAAAAACUGCAAUAAGUACAGUUGCAGGGUUAAGAGUAGUGGGAGUUGGCACCCAGACCACUCCAAUGGGCAGAAGUGGUCUGGGUGCCUGGAGUGUCCCUUUAAGUAACACAAAGAUUACGCAAACGUAUAAAAAAUUUGUGGGUUGCUUUUGGAGCCAAAAGUGAGACGGGUGAAGAAAUAAUACAACCCCUGCCAUUUAAUGCCGUGUAGAUGCCAGAGGGAAGGGUGCAUGGGUAGCAAUUUGAAGGCAUUUACCACGUCAGUUUUGCUUAGCCAUGCCCCUGUGCUAGCCUGUAAAAUGACCCCAUGGCAUGAUCGAUGGUGGCGUAGUGUAGUGAAAAUUCUUCGGAAGGUAUGAGUGAAUUAAAGCUUAGGACAGUGGAGGAAUGUGGUGCAGACAAAUCAAUGAUUAGUCUAGGUUUGAGUGAAGUCUUCCCCGUGACAACCCCUAUGGGGUUGGUUCUCCAAGAUGUGAAGGGUGGGGAAAAGAAUGGACCAACUGUGGAUCAUCUAAUGUGGAUUGUAGAUUGUCGCAUUCUAGUGUACCGGUAGGUAAGUGUACCAACCCGGUGUGAAAUCCCUCAGUCAGUCCCGUGAUAAGGUAGUCAAUGAAAUGGUGUGAUGGGUGUUGUCGUAACCGUGGGGUCAAUAAUGUGAAGGUUCACGCACGUGUGAUAUGGUUUGGGAAAAGCUUUAUUUGGGCACAUUGCCUUAGAUCGGGCCCUGAAACAGUGGGAACACACAUGCAUCAGCCUACAAGAGCUGAAACCACAAUUACCCACAUUAAAAUUGUUACAAAUCUGGGAUUUGCCUAGAAAUACAAUAUCUCUACCCAGUUUGUCUUUGGAAAUUAGAGUGAGUUUGGCCUUGUUCAAUUUCUGCCGUGUUUGGGCAGAAAUUGGUGCUAUGUGCGGUAGAUGCACACACUGCACAAGUUGGAGGCCUGAGGCCUGAAGAAUAACUCAGUGUCCAAUUUUCUCCAAUUAAUGCUUAAAUUGAACUGAGCCAGAGCUGCAGCCACCUUUGCAGAAAAGGAACGGUGGUAAUCAUAAAAAGCGGUACCACCGUAUUUGUGCCCCAGGUCCACCAUCUUGUGCAUGUAUGCAUCCAGCUCUGCUCUUUUUCCCGGGUAUACUGAGCAGUAAACAUCCCUAUAAAUCCCAAAACCCAGUACAAAUUCAGGGAUUGACAAUUUUUUGUUCAGCCUUGGGUCUCUAGCCCUUAGUACUACUGAUAUAUCCCCAUAUGCAAAUGCCCUAUUCUCUAGGACAUCCUGGGAGGCUAUAAGCAAUGACACCAGGUUGACAUCCUUGCCUUCCAGAAUGUCCUUUUAAAGGUGAGAUGGGACCAUGUGUGAAGGAUUAAUAGCUUCACAAAUCGACACGGAUUCCAAUGAAUUAACAGUUAUGUCAGCAAGAGGGUGACUGGAAACAAUUGGGUUCAUAGCAGUCUGUUUCGUACCACUUGCUUUCAAUUUAUCCAGCCUAUCGUUAAUGGUGCUGAUGGAUGACCUAAGAAGUCAUCAUGACAUGAAACGUUGGCAAUUGUGUGCCACUAGGGCCUUCCCCUGUACCAGAGUUGUCAGUGGCCGUGUUUAAAAGUCUAAACAACUCAGCCUUCCUAGCAGUAUCUGGGAAAGGGAUGCAGCGUCUUCUGCAGUGAGAGAUGAAGGACUAGCGCCAUCUGUUCCAGGAACAGGGGUACCAGGCCUAGCGGGCGUGCAGGGUAGCGAGAGUUCCUCAGGGAUAUCAGGAUUAUUUGACAUAACUGAAAAAUAUAAGGUAGCUUUAAUCAAUCACUCUAAUGUUUGAUUGGGUGGGUACUGGUAAGGAUAGCUAAAUACCAAGCGGCGAAACAAUUACACUUCAUGAUGGUGACAGAUGAGUCCCUGCUAAUUGCCAAGCGGCCGGGCCCGAGGGAAACGUAUGAGGCCACCGCACGUUGUGGCGGGUUGUUGGCCUCUCAGUGGCAGGUAAAGCAUAAGAUAGAAUGGGAGUGAUAGGUGAGGCCCUCUCUAUGCAACCAUGCGAGACAGCUUGCUAUGAUUUGGCCCGAGGGGUGUAUUCCUCCAAGAAUGAGGAAGGGGGUGUUUGUCUCGAGGGACCACUAGCCUAUGGAUUAAGACCAGAAAAUUUUCCUAAUUGGGUCACGUAACAUGGAAAAUAAUGGGUUCUGGCGUAGUACCUGAUAUGUGAGUCAGUUUGAGCUGUCGCGGUAGAAGUAACCAGUGACUGUAAGAGUCUCGAGAUGUUUACCUGUGGACAUGAGAUUUGAUAUAUGAACGUCUGACUGAAAUGUAGUGGUAUGGCCAGAUCGUGGGCCCUUAAAACAAGAACCUACCCGACCACACUGCAGAGGGUAGAUUUAAACGAAAAAGAGGACGGCAUGCGCAUUAGGUCUCCCCCGCCAGCUGAUGGCAGGGGAGGAGAGUAGGCGGAGCCUGACCAGCACCAAGGGACAUUGGUGCUGGACUCAGCUAAGUCACUGAAGGGGUUUUAAUCCCUUCAGAAACUUGGGAUGGGGGUGGCAGGGAGAGGGGCACUACAGAGUGCCAGGAAAACAUAUGCCUUUAAGGCUUUGGCUGCAUCCUGAGUGCAAACGUUUGAAUGGAACGGAAAAUACAAUACAACUAGAAUGACAUACUAUGCGGACCAGCUACACACAAGAGCAUACUAUUCCAGCCAUAUACACAAAACAACAUACUAUAAAACACUACAGUGGCCAGAUACACACAAUAACAUACGAUACAGACUUAGAUAUGCACUAUACAGGCCAGAUACGCACUAUACACAACAACACACUAUACAGGCCAGACACGAACAAUAACACACUAUACAGGCUUAAAUACGCACAAUAUCGUACUAUACAGGCCAGGAAUGCAUAACUAAAACGCAGUAUACAAGCUUAGAUACACAAAUACACAGGCCAAAUACACAAAGUAACGCACUAUACAGGCAAGAUACACACAAUAAACUAUACAGUGUAGAUGUGGGAUGCAUUUCCCAACUGGUGCCCCGCGAGAUUAAAAUUUGCUCAACCGAUCUCACUGUACAGGGGCCAUUUAAGACCGUGACCGGGCAUCUGUAGUGUGGGAUGCUGGGAGGAACUGACAGCAUGUCACUUCCUUUCAGACAAAGAGCGCGCUGAGCGGGAUAUGGAGAGUGAGCAGCAGCACGGAGUGAGUAGCACACCAAGCAAGUCACCCUCCUGCAGAAAAAAAAAGGCAAUUUACAGGAGGGUGACUGCAAAUAUCUGUGUGUACGCCUCUGAGUAUGUGUUCGUGUAACUGUAUGCAUCUGGGCGUGACACUGUGUGUAUGUGUCACUGUAUGUAUCUGUGUGUCAGUGCCAGUGUAUCGGUCAGUGUUUGCAUCUGUGUGUGUAUAUCCGUGUCUUUGUGCCAAUGUGUGUGUGUGUGUGUAUAUAUAUAUAUAUA
rnacentral:lncRNA from 1 species